GAUGAACGCUGGCGGCGUGCCUAACACAUGCAAGUCGAGCGAUCUUCUUCGGAAGAGAGCGGCGGACGGGUGAGUAACGCGUGGGUAACCUGCCCUGUACACACGGAUAACAUACCGAAAGGUAUGCUAAUACGAGAUAAUAUGCUUUUAUCGCAUGGUAGAAGUAUCAAAGCUCCGGCGGUACAGGAUGGACCCGCGUCUGAUUAGCUAGUUGGUAAGGUAACGGCUUACCAAGGCGACGAUCAGUAGCCGACCUGAGAGGGUGAUCGGCCACAUUGGAACUGAGACACGGUCCAAACUCCUACGGGAGGCAGCAGUGGGGAAUAUUGCACAAUGGGCGAAAGCCUGAUGCAGCAACGCCGCGUGAGCGAUGAAGGCCUUCGGUCGUAAGCUCUGUCCUCAAGGAAGAUAAUGACGGUACUUGAGGAGGAAGCCCCGGCUAACUACGUG
rnacentral:rRNA from 1 species